rnacentral:rRNA from 1 species
UACGUAGGUGGCAAGCGUUGUCCGGAUUUACUGGGCGUAAAGCGAGCGCAGGCGGACUGUUAAGUAGAAAGUGAAAGGUUGGGGCUCAACCCCAACAUUGCUUUCUAUACUGGCAGUCUUGAGUCCCGGGGGGGAAAGCGGAACAAGUUGUGUAGCGGUGAAAUGCGUUGAUAUAACUUGGAACACCAAUGGCGAAGGCAGCUUUCUGGACGGGAACUGACGCUCAGGCUCGAAAGCCGAGGUAGCGAACAGG